rnacentral:ncRNA from 1 species
UAAUUUGUUGGUGGGGAACAUAUAUUUAUUAACUAUAUCUUUUAUUAUAUAAUAAUAUAAGUUUUAUUCUUGCUUAUUAAUUAUCUAUUUAUAUUAAUUAUAUGUUUAAUAUUAAAUUAAUUUUUAUCAGUAAUAAAUAUUUUUUUAUUAUUAUAUUUUUUAUUAAGAUAUAUAAUUAAAUUGGAUUAAAAUUGUGCCAGCAGUCGCGGUUAUACAAUUUAUUUAGGUUAAUUAUUUAAGUUUAAAUUUAUUUUUAUUUGUUAUAUAAUUGUGAAAUUUAGGUGGAAUUUAUUUUAUAAAUUUUUUCUUUUAAAUUUUUUKAAAAUUUAAGUUUAAACUAGGAUUAGAUACCCUAUUAUUUUUUAUUUAAAUUUUAACUUGAAUAUUGUUAGUUAAUUUCUAUKAAACUCAAAGAAUUUGGCGGUAAUUUAUUUUUUUAGAGGAAUUUGGUUUUUAAUUGAUAAACCACGAUAUAUUUUACUUUUUUAUAAUUUGUAUAUCUCUAUAAUUGGGAAUGUUUUUAAAAUAUAUUUUCUUUUGUUUUUUUUAACUUUAUGUUAGGUCAAGGUGCAGUUUUUAAUAAGUGAAUUUGAAUUACUUUAAUUUUAAAUUUUUUAGAUUUAUUUUUUAUAAAAACAAUUAAAUAGAAUUUAAUAGUAAAUUUAAAUUAUUUUUUUUUUUGAAUUUUACACUAAAUUAUGUACAUAUUGCCCGUCACUCCCAUUUUAGUUGGGAUAAGUCGUAACAAAGUAAUCUUACUGGAAAGUAAGGUUAGAAAGU